rnacentral:rRNA from 1 species
AACGAACGCUGGCGGCAUGCCUAACACAUGCAAGUCGAACGGCAGCACGGACUUCGGUCUGGUGGCGAGUGGCGAACGGGUGAGUAAUGUAUCGGAACGUGCCCAGUCGUGGGGGAUAACGUAGUGAAAAUUACGCUAAUACCGCAUACGAUCUAUGGAUGAAAGCGGGGGAUCGCAAGACCUCGCGCGAUUGGAGCGGCCGAUAUCAGAUUAGGUAGUUGGUGGGGUAAAGGCCCACCAAGCCAACGAUCUGUAGCUGGUCUGAGAGGACGACCAGCCACACUGGAACUGAGACACGGUCCAGACUCCUACGGGAGGCAGCAGUGGGGAAUUUUGGACAAUGGGCGAAAGCCUGAUCCAGCCAUUCCGCGUGCAGGAUGAAGGCCCUCGGGUUGUAAACUGCUUUUGUACAGAACGAAAAGGUUUCUACUAAUACUAGGAGCUCAUGACGGUACUGUAAGAAUAAGCACCGGCUAACUACGUGCCAGCAGCCGCAGUAA